UACGAAGGUGGCAAGCGUUGUUCGGAUUUACUGGGCGUACAGGGAGCGUAGGCGGUUCGGUAAGCCCUCUGUGAAAUCUCCAGGCUUAACCUGGGACAGUCGGAGGGGACUGCCGGGCUAGAGGACGGGAGAGGAGCGCGGAAUUCCCGGUGUAGCGGUGAAAUGCGUAGAGAUCGGGAGGAAGGCCGGUGGCGAAGGCGGCGCUCUGGAACGUUUCUGACGCUGAGGCUCGAAAGCGUGGGGAGCAAACAGG
rnacentral:rRNA from 1 species